rnacentral:rRNA from 1 species
AGUGAACGCUGGCGGUAGGCCUAACACAUGCAAGUCGAACGGCAGCACAGUAAGAGCUUGCUCUUACGGGUGGCGAGUGGCGGACGGGUGAGGAAUACAUCGGAAUCUACUUUUUCGUGGGGGAUAACGUAGGGAAACUUACGCUAAUACCGCAUACUACCUACGGGUGAAAGCAGGGGAUCUUCGGACCUUGCGCGAUUGAAUGAGCCGAUGUCGGAUUAGCUAGUUGGCGGGGUAAAGGCCCACCAAGGCGACGAUCCGUAGCUGGUCUGAGAGGAUGAUCAGCCACACUGGAACUGAGACACGGUCCAGACUCCUACGGGAGGCAGCAGUGGGGAAUAUUGGACGAUGGGCGCAAGCCUGAUCCAGCCAUACCGCGUGGGUGAAGAAGGCCUUCGGGUUGUAAAGCCCUUUUGUUGGGAAAGAAAAGCAGCAGGUUAAUACCCCGCUGUUCUGACGGUACCCAAAGAAUAAGCACCGGCUAACUUCGUG